GAUGAACGCUAGCGGGAGGCCUAACACAUGCAAGCCGAGCGGUAUUGUUUCUUCGGAAAUGAGAGAGCGGCGUACGGGUGCGUAACACGUGUGCAACCUGCCUUUAUCUGGGGGAUAGCCUUUCGAAAGGAAGAUUAAUACUCCAUAAUAUAUUUAACGGCAUCGUGUAACAUUGAAAGCUCCGGCGGACAGCGAUGGGCACGCGCAAGAUUAGCUAGUUGGUGAGGUAACGGCUCACCAAGGCGAUGAUCUUUAGGGGGCCUGAGAGGGUGAGCCCCCACACUGGUACUGAGGCACGGACCAGACUCCUACGGGAGGCAGCAGUGAGGAAGAUUGGUCAAUGGGUGCAAGCCUGAACCAGCCAUCCCGCGUGAAGGACGACUGCCCUAUGGGUUGUAAACUUCUUUUGUAUAGGGAUAAACCUACCCUCGUGAGGGUAGCUGAAGGUACUAUACGAAUAAGCACCGGCUAACUCCGUGCCAGCCGCCGCAGUAA
rnacentral:rRNA from 1 species